rnacentral:rRNA from 1 species
CCUACGGGAGGCUGCAGUGGGGAAUAUUGCACAAUGGACGGAAGUCUGAUGCAGCAACGCCGCGUGCGGGAUGACGGCCUUCGGGUUGUAAACCGCUUUCAUCCAUGACGAAGCGAGAGUGACGGUAGUGGGAGAAGAAGCACCGGCUAACUACGUGCCAGCAGCCGCGGUGAUACGUAGGGUGCGAGCGUUGUCCGGAUUUAUUGGGCGUAAAGAGCUUGUAGGCGGUUUGUUGCGUCGGAAGUGAAAACUCAGGGCUUAACUCUGAGCCUGCUUUCGAUACGGGCAGACUUGAGGAAGGUAGGGGAGAAUGGAAUUCCUGGUGAAGCGGUGGAAUGCGUAGAUAUCAGGAGGAACACCGGUGGCGAAGGCGGUUCUCUGGACCUUUCCUGACGCUGAGAAGCGAAAGCGUGGGGAGCAAACAGGCUUAGAUACCCUAGUAGUC